CAAUGACAUAAGCAUUGUUAAUGCCAGAACACUUAUUUAAGUGCUCAAUGACAGUGAACCAUGAUGGAGAAAUACACGCCUCUUCGCUCCCUCCACCCACGUGUUGCUGACGGGUUUAUCUGUGAAAGAGUGUCCUGGCUGUGGUACCAUCGAGGUGGCACUGAUCAGGGGCCUAUUAAGGAAUAUCGCAUGGUCCUUGCGGACAACCAGGUGCACUCUUAAGUUCAGUGCCUGUUUAUUGCACUGCAGGGUGAUUCUGUCCACGUGACAGUACCACAUGGCUUCCUUCACACAUUCCUUGAUAUCCUACAUAAGAAGAGUGUCUAUGAACUCAGCAUGUUUUGUUUUGUUUAGUUAAAAAGCUGAAUGUUCUGUGGCCCGUUGAUGCGCUGUUUUCUAUUGUACUGACACGAGCGAUUCAAUGUAGAGACAACUUAUUGGGCACCUUAGGUCCUAUUCCCUAACACCAUUUGUGUUUUUGGCUGCUCCUUCUACUAACCUAGGUUGUUUAGUUUGUAUGGUGUUCUAAUAAUGUUCUUAUACUUGCCUCUGAUUAUGGUUUAUCUCUGUACCUUUUGUGCCCUUAUGAGUGGUAAUGAUGUUACUAAA